rnacentral:lncRNA from 1 species
CGAAAGAUCAAAGAUUUGUUGUAUUUGAAAUUAUAUGUUUUGAAUUGAUUUGGGAGGCUCGUAUUAGAAAACCGUAGUUAACAGCGGUUAUGACGUUAACCUAGAUGCAUCUGGCUCAGACCUCAGCUAGCAGGAGCGUUGUUAGCCUAACGUGUAGGCCACACGUUAGAUCUGUUAUUCCGUACGGACACACUAGAGAAAAGGGCUACCCAUAGAGGUGGAGCCGCCCAAGUGUGGACUUUUGAUUUGAUUUCUCUAUGAGAACUCCCUUAUUGAUUCACUUAUUAUCAACUAUUAUUUUCUAAUUAAAAUUAUUUUGAUGAUAAUGUUUGUAUAGUCUCAUGUCGAUUAUAGAUGUAUUGUCUAGUCACUGAAUUGCAAAACUCACUCUUUUUUUUUUAAAAAAAAUAUUUUUUCAGGAAUAAGUACUUGAUUAUGUGAGCCUUUCUAUUCAAGAGUAAUGAUCUGCAAUGGGCUCUAUUCCUUGUUGAGUUCUUAGACGUCAUCUGCUCCAUAUGUCACAGGCAGGAUCCAUCUAUAUUUAUUUAUUUUAUUUUUGUUAAAGUAUGUAAUUAUUCAUUCUAAAAAGUGUAAAUUUAUCAAAAAUUAUUUGUAACCUUUUUAUUUAUCUUAUAUUCGAAUCUGUUAGGCUUGCCAGGGAACUCUUUUUCCUGAGCGCCAGUCAUGGCUCAUUUUGGGUUGUGACAGAGUGGUAUCAGAGCUUAGGUUUAAUCUGUGUAAUAUGGAGCAAGUGUCUUAUGGUAGGAUCACAAUUGUAUAAAUAGAAGCGCGCCUAUUUGUACAAAUUGUGGUACUAUUAGAGGCCUAUAGGAAUGUCAUCCUUCUCUUUUUGUCAUUCUUGUCUCUUGGUUCUUGUCAUCAUGAGUCAUCUGUCGAUUCUUGCCACCUCUUUUCUCUUUGUAUCCAUCCUUGAGUUAUUAUUUGGUAACUUUUCUUGAACUUACUUUUGCAAUUGUUUCAGUUUCGGUUUUGGUUCACGAUUCUUGCCUUGUAGCUAGUUCUAAUCUUCCUCGCUUUUGUGAAUAAUUGCUUUAAUCUUCUUUAUCUUCAUGUUGUUUUCUAUGGGUUCUGAUUUCAAGAUUUCAUCCAUUAUCUAGAAGAUUUGAUAUGUUUUUGCUGUGAAUUAUUAUCUUAUUCCUCUUAUAAAACAGUAUUUGAAUUUGUGGAUUGUGGAUUUGCUUAGCUGCUAAUUGAGAUGCUUUCUUCUGGAUUUGAUGAUCUUUGAAGCUAACAUAAUUUUGAUUCGCUAUUGAUUCCUUCUUUUAAAUCAAUAAUUUGUAAAAUUUUUAUUUUGUUGCUCAAGGAGAAGGAGUAUGUGAUGAAACAUAUGAAUAGAGUGUUAUUGUUGUUUGUUCGAUUGGAGAUUUUCAUUGCUUAAAUUUAGUGAAUUAUUUGGGUGAUCACUUAGCUGAAUCGAAAGUCUUUUCCGAUCUAGAAGUUUGGUUGUGCUUUUCUAAUUUGAUGAUCUAGUUUUGUUAUGGUGCUUUGUUGCUGAAUAUGACUUUUCUUUCACGGAACUAUUUCUUGCUUGAUAAGUUGAGAGACAGAUUGUGAACGUUUACUUUUUGGUUGGUGAUUAUAAGGUGAAUUUUGCUUUUGACUAAGAUCUGAAAUUUGAGAAUUUUCUCAACCCAUGGUUUUCUAAAAGUUUUCUUAUUCUCAACUAUUGUCCUUAUUCUCAGAGAUUUAGGGAGAUUGAUUUUCUUGAUUUGUAGAGCCUUUGUGAUAUUGAAUUGUAUAUCUUAGAGAUUGGAAAGAAUUGUUGGCGAUUUCUUAUAAAAAUGACUAGAUAUCUAAUUUCUUAAAGCCAAAUAAAUUUCUUAUACGAGUUUUUUCCCUUGUUACAUUCAACUAAUUAUUAUAAACCAUGCUCUUUUUUUAUUAUGUACCCCUUAAUAACUCUAGUUUUAAAAUUAUCUAAUUUCUCAACAAGACCUAAUGUUUCAUGAUUCACAUUUGGUUGGAUUCGUGGAAU